rnacentral:rRNA from 1 species
UACGUAGGUGGCAAGCGUUGUCCGGAUUUACUGGGCGUAAAGAGCGCGCAGGCGGUCGUUCAAGUCGCGUGUGAAAGCCCCCGGCUCAACUGGGGAGGGUCACGCGAUACUGAUCGACUGGAAGGCAGGAGAGGGUAGUGGAAUUCCCGGUGUAGCGGUGAAAUGCGCAGAUAUCGGGAGGAACACCAGUAGCGAAGGCGGCUCGCUGGGCCGUUCCUGACGCUGAGACGCGAAAGCUAGGGGAGCGAACAGG